GCCAUCAGGAGCCAUAAAGUAGCUCAGCCAUCUUCCCAUUAAAAUGGGGAAAACACUCAGGGACACAGGCAAGCUCUCCUUAGAGACCUGCUGUGACCAAGACUCUGGAAACAAGGAGCCCUAGCACCAACUAAGUGUAGUCAAGAUGAGGAGGGCUGGGAGGGUUAGAGGCACUGGGGAAAAGGCUUUGAAGUCUCCUCUUUGAGGGUGUCUCCUCCCUAAGGGCAGCCCCGCUCCCGGUGCUUGGCUCUAGCACAGGCUGAGGUGCAGCUGUGCCUUUGGGAUAAGGACUGUUUUGUUGUCUUCAGUUCACCUCACCUGACCUCAGGAUCUUCAGGGUAACAGCAGAUGAUGAUGAUGAUAAUACUCCGCUGUUUCACAGUGCCACUUCCCGAGACUCCGCGAGCCCUUCAGCAACACUCACUUGUCAAGGCCUGCAAGCCAUCUAAAAACAUAACUUCAUCUUGAACCACCACUUCAAGAUGUUUGGGAAACAACUAAACAAACCCCAGAAUAUUUUCCCGAUAACCUGGUGCAUUAGAAUAGUUGCUGCAAAAUGGAAUUUUAUUGCCUCCCCCACCCUCUCCGAGUGGAAUAACCCAUCUGCCUAAGGAAUGUAGCCCUUCCCAGGUUAUGAGCUCCUGAGAGGAUUGUGUGGUAGAAAAGAAAACAUGGAUUUGAUUAGAUGGAGGCUGAGAGCUUGGCCCCCUGUGGCACCACCACUGCCUGCCUCCCUGGCCCCUGAGCAAGUGGGCACAGGGAGGCAGGGGCUCAGCAGGGAGCUGGGGGAAAACGUGGCAAGCUUUCUGUCUGGGGCUGGUGGGUCUGCCUGCUGUCAUCCCCACGGCGCUGGCAGGACCCUCGGUCGCCUCGGUGUCAGCUCUGCUCUCUCUGCUGGGAGGGGGCAUGAGCUGCCCCUGGUGUGGGUCUGGGGUGUAGACAGCUGGGAAGGGGGGAAGAGUGAGGGGAAGGAGGGCUGUAGGUCGGAAGA